rnacentral:rRNA from 1 species
GAUGAGCGCUGGCGGCGUGCCUAAUACAUGCAAGUCGAGCGAACGGACGAGAAGCUUGCUUCUCUGAUGUUAGCGGCGGACGGGUGAGUAACACGUGGAUAACCUACCUAUAAGACUGGGAUAACUUCGGGAAACCGAAGCUAAUACCGGAUAAUAUUUUGAACCGCAUGGUUCAAAAGUGAAAGACGGUCUUGCUGUCACUUAUAGAUGGAUCCGCGCUGCAUUAGCUAGUUGGUAAGGUAACGGCUUACCAAGGCAACGAUGCAUAGCCGACCUGAGAGGGUGAUCGGCCACACUGGAACUGAGACACGGUCCAGACUCCUACGGGAGGCAGCAGUAGGGAAUCUUCCGCAAUGGGCGAAAGCCUGACGGAGCAACGCCGCGUGAGUGAUGAAGGUCUUCGGAUCGUAAAACUCUGUUAUUAGGGAAGAACAUAUGUGUAAGUAACUGUGCACAUCUUGACGGUACCUAAUCAGAAAGCCACGGCUAACUACGUG